rnacentral:rRNA from 1 species
CCUACGGGAGGCAGCAGUGGGGAAUAUUGGGCAAUGGGCGCAAGCCUGACCCAGCAACGCCGCGUGAAGGAAGACGGCUUUCGGGUUGUAAACUUCUUUUCUCAGGGACGAAACAAGUGACGGUACCUGAGGAAUAAGCCACGGCUAACUACGUGCCAGCAGCCGCGGGAAUACGUAGGUGGGAAGCGUUAUCCGGAUUUACUGGGUUUAAAGGGCGUGUAGGCGGGAAAGCAAGUCAGAUGUGAAAACCAUGGGCUCAAACUGUGGCCUGCAUUUGAAACUGUUUUUCUUGAGUACUGGAGAGGUAGACGGAAUUCGUAGUGUAGCGGUGAAAUGCGUAGAUAUUAGGAGGAACACCAGUGGCGAAGGCGGUAUGCUGGACAGCAACUGACGCUGAGGCGCGAAAGCGUGGGGAGCAAACAGGAUUAGAUACCCUAGUAGUC